UUUAUAUGCUCAUCUUAACACAAAUCGAUAAACAAAAACAAAAAGAUAUUUCUAAUUUCACACAUAAUUGAGAAAAGAUAUAUAAUAUUCUUGUGCCACAAGAAACCCCUCAAUCUUUUUUUUCCACCAAGAAACCUUCAUCACUAUCAAGAUUCUUCUAGUAAUCCACCCUGAUGCUAUAGUACCGCUUGUUUAUGCAAUCAUCUAUAAUGCAGCACUCCUAGCUGAAGAUCCAUAUGGGUUUGUGUUCUAAUCUUCAACAAUAAUAUAUCAUUGUUCUUAGAAAUCAUGAUUAUUCAAAUAUCUAUUAGCCAUUGAAGUUGUGAAAUUUGCCCUUUCCGCAGCCGCAGCAACAUAAAUCCUCAUCCGCAACAUCAACUGCAUCUCAUCAUGGUCAUUGACAUACCCAUUGGAAUCAUAAUUUUCAUAGAAAGGUUGGUUUAUGAAAUUGUUGUUAGGCCAAAACCCAGUAGUACUGUUUCUAAAAGGGUUACUCAAGCUGAGUCUACCCAUUAUAGAUUCAAGGUCAUCAACUCCAUGAAAUGUGUUUCUAGAAGAAUCUUGAUAGUGAUUAUGAUCAGCACAGGUAGAGGAAUCGCUGCUUGAUGAGUUCGGG
rnacentral:lncRNA from 1 species